UAGUUCCGUAAAUAACUUUUGGCAAACCUUAUAAGUAUUGAUCUUGGCGUGUAAUCUUCUUUUCUAAAGAAGGUUUACAUCACUUUCUAUAUCCAUUAUACAUGUUUUUCCUUUAUUUUAUUUUCUUUCUUUUCUUGUUUCUUUCUCCUUUUUCUUUCUUUUCUUUCCUUCUAUCUAUUCUUUUCUUUCAUUCUUCUCAUUCUCUACAAUCCUACUCCUCACACAAAUCUAACCAAGAUUCUUCUCUAAUCAAGCUGUGACCCAGGGCGUACAGGUUUCCUUUAAGACUCCUGCUGGGGACGAGUCACUCGAGUAGAAAUUUAACUUAUACCAAUCUAUAUGGGGCAUGAAGCAUUUGUUGUUAGUUUGGCACAGAUUGUACCAAACCAUAAAAGUGGAUUUGAGUUGUUGAUCGGAUCGAGCAGAAUUUGCCUUAUCUGGUUAAGCAGAUAAGAAGAUUUGGACAAGCUACAAUUGUUCCCUCGUGGUGAGUCCUUUAAUUUAGUUUAUUUCAUAGUUGUUGUUGUAAAGUCCUUAAAGGCUAACACUCUAGAACCUUAAUACAUU